AGUCAACCCCCGGGAAGGCCAGGAUGUGGCCUUGUUUCGGCAAGGCCGCCCUAUCACCACGGAGAUGGGCAGGCAGGAGACAUCCCCAGUCAGUCGGGCCCAGGUGGGGAUCAGGAGGUUUCAGGAAAACACAAGCUAUGCAGUGGGGCAGGUGAGGCUUGGCCUGCCCAGCCUGUCCUGAGUGUCAUGGGAACAGCUCUGGAAGUGACUCCUCUGUCCUCUGGAAUCUGGAUCAGAUGGGGCCUUCUCCAGACAUCUGUGCUCAGCAGAUGCGACAGACGGCCCCUCGAGUGUAGCCCAGGAUCCAGCACCGGCCCAAGCAGGUGGGAGCUGUAAGUUGAUCCAAGCUCUCCAGUCCCUGUGCUGGGCUGGGGGAUGCACGAUGAACGAGGCUGGGAUCCUGGUGUCAGGGAGUACCAGCCACAGAGGGCGCCAUGUGCAUGGAGGAGGUGGCAAGGAAGAGAAGGGGAAACCGAGGCUCACAGCGAGGAACUUGGUCAACAAGCCCAGGCCCCUCCACCCUGCCCGCGUUUCCUGCACUGCACUGGAUCAAACCGGUUUGAUCCUUGAUAAUGCCUCCGACAAAUAUUUGAUGAGGGAGGAGGCUGAGAGAGGGGCUGUGGAACAAAUCACCACAAACUGGAGGGCCGAAAACACCAGCAAUGGGCUCCCUCUUGGUUCUGGAGCCGAGAAGGCAGAAAUGAAGGCGUCAUCAGGGUUGCUCCUUCUGGGGCCUCAGAGCAGGACUCUGUUCCCUGCCCGUCCCCAGCUCCGGUGGUUGGCGGCCUUCCUCCGCCUGUGGCCCUGCACUCCAAUCGCUGCCUCUGUUGUCACUUGGCCCCCCAUGUGCCUCUGUGUCUCAGAAGGACACAAGUCAUAUUGAAUUAAGGACCCUCCCUACCCCAGCAUGACCCCGUUUUAACUUAGAACUUUCACAAUGAUCUGAUUUGCAAAGAAGGCUGGAUUCUGAGGUCCUGGGAAGGACAUGAAUUUUGGGGGAUGCUGUUCACCUCAGUACACCGGUGCAGAGUUCGGUGACACCGCCAAGUUGCUUGACGGUGAGCAGCCUGGCAUUGUAGAAAGGCAGAGGUUGACUUUAGUUUGGUCCCUGGCUUUGUCCUUUAUUUGUUCUGUGACACCUUGGACAAGUUUUGUGACCCGAGUGUCAGUUUCCUAGGAACCAGUGACAAUGAUCAGAGAUAGGGGGACUCAAGGGUAAGUAAAGUGCAGGAUGAACUGCAGCGGAGCGUGUGAGGUGCCUGGCAGGUGUCGGCCACCCAGUGGCGCUCGAAGCACCUGCUGCUCCCUCCUUCCUCGCUCCCAGCUGCCUUCUCUGCUGGGAGCUCUUUGGAGAGGAGCUGUGUGACUGGUUCAUCCUGUCCCUCGAGGAGCUACCAGUUCAGUCAAGGACAUUGAGAAGCAGCGGAUGGUGACAGUGCAGUGUGACAGUGGUGUGCUGUGGGAGCCCCAUGGAGCGGCUACCCAGGCAGGAACGUCAGGGAGGCUUCCUGGAGGAGGUGGUGCUUCAGAUGAGACUUGAAGGAGCAGAAGGUGUUUGCUAGACAAAGGGGCUUGCUUGGAUGAAUGGUCUUCAGAGCGUGGUCCCAGUAAGGAAGGAGACCACUACUACUCUUGCUGCCCUCCUCCCCCGACCUUGCCUAGUUUACAAGACAGGAGGAAAGAGAGAAAGCAAAAAGUUAGAAAAAAAAAAAAAAAAAACAGAAGUAAGAUAAAUAGCCAGAAGACCUUGGCACCACCACCUGGCCCUGGUAGUUAAAAAAAGUAAUAAUAAUAAUAUCGACCCCUGACUUAAACUACUUGUAUUAUCUGUAAAUUCCAGACAUUGUAGGAAAAAGCAUUGCAAAAUUUUCUGUUCUGUUAGCUGAUUCAUGUAGCCCCCAGUCACGUUCCCCAUGCUUGUUCGAUUUAUCAUGACCCUUUCACGUGGGCCCCUUAGAGGUGUAAGCCCUUAAAAGGGCCAAGAAUUUCUUUUUCCGGGAGCUCGGCUCUUAAGACGCAAGUCUGCUGAUGCUCCCGGCUGAAUAAACCUCUUCCUUCUUU
rnacentral:lncRNA from 1 species